rnacentral:rRNA from 1 species
AACGAACGCUGGCGGCAGGCUUUAACACAUGCAAGUCGAACGGCCGUAGCAAUGCGGCAGUGGCAGACGGGUGAGUAAUACGUGGGAACGUACCCUUUGGUUCGGAAUAACCCGGGGAAACUUGGGCUAAUACCGGAUACGCCCCGAGCAAUUGGGGGAAAGAUUCAUCGCCAGAGGAUCGGCCCGCGUCUGAUUAGCUCGUUGGUGGGGUAAUGGCUCACCAAGGCGACGAUCAGUAGCUGGUCUGAGAGGACGGCCAGCCACACUGGGAUUGAGAUACGGCCCAGACUCCUACGGGAGGCAGCAGUGGGGAAUCUUGGACAAUGGGCGCAAGCCUGAUCCAGCCAUGCCGCGUGAGUGAUGAAGGCCUUAGGGUUGUAAAGCUCUUUCAGCGGGGAAGAUAAUGACGGUACCCGCAAAAGAAGCCCCGGCUAACUCUGUGCCAGCCGCCGCGGUAAAAC